rnacentral:rRNA from 1 species
ACUCCUACGGGAGGCAGCAGUGGGGAAUAUUGCACAAUGGGCGCAAGCCUGAUGCAGCCAUGCCGCGUGUAUGAAGAAGGCCUUCGGGUUGUAAAGUACUUUCAGCAGUGAGGAAGGCGGGUACGUUAAUAGCGUGCUUGUUUGACGUUAGCUGCAGAAGAAGCACCGGCUAACUCCGUGCCAGCAGCCGCGGUAAUACGGAGGGUGCGAGCGUUAAUCGGAAUUACUGGGCGUAAAGCGCAUGCAGGUGGUUUGUUAAGUCAGAUGUGAAAGCCCGGGGCUCAACCUCGGAAUUGCAUUUGAAACUGGCAGACUAGAGUACUGUAGAGGGGGGUAGAAUUUCAGGUGUAGCGGUGAAAUGCGUAGAGAUCUGAAGGAAUACCGGUGGCGAAGGCGGCCCCCUGGACAGAUACUGACACUCAGAUGCGAAAGCGUGGGGAGCAAACAGGAUUAGAUACCCUGGUAGGAAAGCG